UGUAGACCAUGCUGAAGACAAUGAAGAGUCCCUGAAAGGGUUUAAGUAGUGGAAUGACAUGAUCAGAUGUACAUAUGGGAAUAGGACCCUUUAUUUUUCAAUGAGCACAAAGUCACCCAGAAUAAGGACCAUACUUCCAGCUUCCUUCGAAACUAGGUGUGGCUAUAUGACCAAUUGUUUGUCUAUGGGAUGCAAGCUGACAUGGUGUGUGCAACUUUCAAGCCAGCAGGAAAAAGACAAGAUUUCCUUGGAGAAGGGACUUUGAAGAAAUGGUGGGCCUGGAGAUGGGCAAGGAGAGAGAGAAAGAGGGUA